CUGACAGCAGAGUAUGUGUAGGAUGGAUGUACAUCAUGGCAGAGGGAUUCCUCUGCAUCAACUGUAAUGCUGCUGCAUCUGAAAGUGGCUAUAAAGCUUCAGCAUAUGGGAUGCCUAGAAGGGAAAAUGAAAUCAAAGGGCUGUAACAUAAAGUCCAGAAAUCCAACAUGGAUCACUGUCGUCAACUUUUGUGUCCAUAUUCGUCAGUAUCCUGGAUGUUCAUUUCCUCUUCUUGCACUCUUCUUGAGUAAUCCAAUGCAGCCUUCCAGAUGUUAGGGGACUGCAGUUGUAAUCAGCCCUAACCAGCAUAGAUAAUCAUCAAGAAUCUUGGGAGCUGGAGAGCCACCUCAUGCCCAUGUGUAAUGAGGGCAUAUUUGUUGCCCUGUUUCAGAAUGAUAAAUAGACAGAUUCAUAAGCCAAUAUUGCAGCUAUUGUGACUUAACAUUUGGCUACCUUGUCUGACAUAACAGGAGAUUACAUUUUUCAACAGUUCAACAAUCACAAAGCAAUUACUUUUUUUCAAAGAAAAAAAACAAUUGGCGUAAUUCAUGGUUCCCAAAGGGUUUUUGAUAAAGUUCUAAGUAUAUUGACAUUGUAACAAUGAUGUUUUUGCUUUAAAUUGGACAUGCAAUGAAUUCAUGGAAAUUAAAACACGUAAGGGUAUAUGCCAGUCAACCUAGUUGAAUAAAAAAUGUAAUCAUCUA